rnacentral:tRNA from 1 species
GGUUUUUAGCUCAGUGGUAGAGAGCUCGCUUAGUGUGCAUGAGGCACUGGGUUCAAUCCUCAGCACCA